UACGGAGGGUGCAAGCGUUAUCCGGAUUCACUGGGUUUAAAGGGUGCGUAGGCGGCGCGGUAAGUCGGGUGUGAAAUCUUGGAGCUUAACUCCGAAACUGCAUUCGAUACUGCCGUGCUUGAGGACUGGAGAGGAGACUGGAAUUUACGGUGUAGCGGUGAAAUGCGUAGAUAUCGUAAGGAAGACCAGUGGCGAAGGCGGGUCUCUGGACAGUUCCUGACGCUGAGGCACGAAGGUCAGGGGAGCAAACGGG
rnacentral:rRNA from 1 species